rnacentral:rRNA from 1 species
ACGGGAGGCAGCAGUGAGGAAUAUUGGUCAAUGGGCGGAAGCCUGAACCAGCCAAGUCGCGUGAAGGAUGAAGGUAUUAUGUAUUGUAAACUUCUUUAGCUGUGGAGCAAUAAUCGCCAUGCAUGGCGAGAUGAGAGUACACAGAGAAUAAGGACCGGCUAAUUCCGUGCCAGCAGCCGCGGUAAUACGGAAGGUCCGGGCGUUAUCCGGAUUUAUUGGGUUUAAAGGGAGCGCAGGCGGCCUGUUAAGCGUGUGGUGAAAUGUAGUGGCUCAACCUCUGCACUGCCACGCGAACUGGCGGGCUUGGGUGCGGUGAACGCUGGCGGAAUUCGUGGUGUAGCGGUGAAAUGCUUAGAUAUCACGAAGAACUCCGAUUGCGAAGGCAGCUGGCGGUACCGUUACCGACGCUCAUGCUCGAAAGUGUGGGGAUCGAACAGGAUUAGAUACCCUGGUA